rnacentral:rRNA from 1 species
AUGAACGCUGGCGGCAUGGAUAAGGCAUGCAAGUCGAACGAGAUUUACCUUCGGGUAAUGAGAGUGGCGAAAGGGUGAGUAACACGUGAGAAAUCUACCCCCGAUUUUGGGAUAGCCCAUAGAAAUGUGGAUUAAUACCAGAUACUCUUCUACAAUGCAUAUUGUAGGAUGUAAAGUUUUUCGAUCAGGGAUGGGCUCGCGUAUCAUCAGCUAGUUGGUAAGGUAACGGCUUACCAAGGCUUUGACGAUUAGGUGGUCUGAGAGGACGAUCACCCACACUGGGACUGAGACACUGCCCAGACUCCUACGGGAGGCUGCAGUCGAGAAUCUUCCGCAAUGCGCGAAAGCGUGACGGAGCGAUGCCGCGUGCAGGAUGAAGGCCUUCGGGUCGUAAACUGCUGUCACUCGGGACGAAUUUUUGACGGUACCGAGAGAGGAAGCCACGGCUAACUACGUGCCAGCAGCCGCGGUAAUACGUAGGUGGCAAGCGUUAUUCGGAUUUAUUGGGCGUAAAGGGUUCGUAGGCGGUCAAGUAAGUUUGAUGUGAAAUCUCCAGGCUCAACCUGGAAACUGCAUUGGAUACUGCUUGACUUGAGUAUUGGAGAGGUAAGCGGAAUUCCUGGUGUAGCGGUGGAAUGCGUAGAUAUCAGGAGGAACACCGAUUGCGAAGGCAGCUUACUGGACAAUAACUGACGCUGAGGAACGAAAGCUAGGGUAGCAAACAGGAUUAGAUACCCCUUGUAAUCCCGGCCGUAAAACGUUGUAUACUAGAUGUGAGCAGUUUUGACCCUGUUCGUGUCCCCAGCUAACGCGAUAAAUAUAACCGCCUGGGGGAGUACGGGGGGCAACGCUAAAACUCAAAGGAAUUGACGGGGGCCCGCACAAGCGGUGGAGCAUGUGGCUUAAUUGGAGGCAACGCGAAGACCCUUACCUGGGUUUGACAUAUAUAGGACAGCCUGUGAAAGCAGGUUUCUCUUCGGAGUCUAUAUACAGGUGCUGCAUGGCUGUCGUCAGCUCGUGCCGUGAGGUGUUCGGUUAAGUCCGGCAACGAGCGCAACCCGUGUCAUUAGUUGCCAACAGGUAAUGCUGAGGACUCUAGAGAGACUGCCCGUGGUAAGCGGGAGGAAGGCGCGGACGACGUCAAGUCAGUAUGGCCCUUACACCCAGGGCUGCACACGUGCUACAAUGGCCGAUACAAUGGGACGCUACACCGCGAGGUGGAGCAAAUCCUUAAAGCCGGCCCUAGUUCGGAUUGUAGUCUGCAACUCGACUACUUGAAGUCGGAAUCGCUAGUAAAGGCGUAUCAGCAAUGGCGCCUUGAAUACGUUCCCGGGCCUUGUACACACCGCCCGUCACAUCAUGGAAGCUGGUUGCACCCGAAGU